rnacentral:misc_RNA from 1 species
UCUCUCUCUCUCUCUCUCUCUCUGCGCCACAUCACAACCCCAGGAGUCUCAGCAUUGCAGCAUAGCAGCAGGGCAGUGCACUGCUGCUCUGCGUCUCAGUCUCGCAGAUUAGCUAAAAAGAAAAAGAAAACCCAUCAACAAACUUAAAGCAAAUACAGAAAAACAGAAAAGAAAUCAAACCCUCUCUCCAUUUAUUACCAUUUCAGCCCUAAAUUUAUUUUCUUUUUAACCAAAAAUUAAAGGCUUUGAUUUGAUAUCUUGAAAAAGCACUUUGAGUCUUGACUCCCAUCUCCCUGUUAUUAAGCAAAUGCCAAAGUUGCAUUGAUGCAGCCAUGAAAGGUAGUCUCUUUUCUCUCUAUAACCAUUCCCCUUUCGCAAAUCUUUUCCUUCUUCAACUUUACACUCCUUCUGUUUAGUUGGGGUUGAGGAUAAAAUGUUGGGUAUCAUAGAUCUUAAUACCACGGAGGAGGAUCAAACGACACCGUCUUCUGGGUCUUUGUCUUCUCCAUCCUCGUCUUCUGCUUCUGCUUUAAGUGCUUCUAAUUUAAGCCCGUCUGGGUCUGGUUCUGCUUCUUCUUCGGUGUGUUUGGAGCUCUGGCAUGCUUGUGCGGGCCCGCUCAUAUCCUUGCCUAAGAGAGGGAGUGUGGUCGUGUACUUUCCUCAGGGCCACUUGGAGCAACUCCCUGAUUU